CCCUAGCCCGGAUUGCAACGGCAUCCUUUUUUGUUUUGGCAAUGGAAAGAGCCAGGCGGAAACAAAAAAGAUACAGUGGAAAGCCGGAAAAAGC
rnacentral:sRNA from 1 species